rnacentral:rRNA from 1 species
CAGCAGUAGCCGCGGUAAUACGAGGGGGGCAAGCGUUGUUCGGAAUUAUUGGGCGUAAAGGGUGCGUAGGCGGCCUGACAAGUCUUGUGUGAAAUCUAUGGGCUCAACCCAUAGUCUGCACGGGAAACUGUCGGGCUUGAGAAUGGGAGAAGUGAGUAGAAUUUCCGGUGUAGCGGUGAAAUGCGUAGAUAUCGGAAGGAACACCUGUAGCGAAAGCGGCUCACUGGACCAUUUCUGACGCUGAUGCACGAAAGCUAGGGGAGCAAACAGGAUUAGAUACCCCUGUAGUCCCUGUCUCUUAUAC